AACGAACGCUGGCGGCAUGCCCAACACAUGCAAGUCGAACGAGAUCUUCGGGUCUAGUGGCGCACGGGUGCGUAACGCGUGGGAAUCUGCCCUUUGGUUCGGAAUAACAGUUGGAAACGACUGCUAAUACCGGAUGAUGACGAAAGUCCAAAGAUUUAUCGCCAGAGGAUGAGCCCGCGUAGGAUUAGCUAGUUGGUGUGGUAAAGGCGCACCAAGGCGACGAUCCUUAGCUGGUCUGAGAGGAUGAUCAGCCACACUGGGACUGAGACACGGCCCAGACUCCUACGGGAGGCAGCAGUGGGGAAUAUUGGACAAUGGGCGAAAGCCUGAUCCAGCAAUGCCGCGUGAGUGAUGGAGGCCUUAGGGUUGUAAAGCUCUUUUACCCGGGAUGAUAAUGACAGUACCGGGAGAAUAAGCUCCGGCUAACUCCGUGCCAGCCGCCGCAGUAA
rnacentral:rRNA from 1 species